UCUUUAAGUCUUUCCCUAAGAAUGGAUGG
rnacentral:piRNA from 1 species